rnacentral:lncRNA from 10 species
GGCUCAUCCAAGCUAAUCAACAAAAGAUGGAGGAUUCUGGCGAGCAGGAAGGAAAUACUGAGUGACAGCCUAGAGGCGUUUUCCAGAUUCUGCAGAAUCAGGCUCGUAUUGCUUAUUAUUGUCUGUAUGGUUCUGGCCAAUUCCUAGACUAGCGACGAUGAAAGGCCUCUUUUCCCAAAUAAAUUGCGCCAGGAAAUAGAAAUCAGCCCACAACAAACGGUCUUGGGGAAGAGGCCUCCUAGGUCUGGUUGAAAGAGGCGUCGUCUCUGCCUUAUUUGGGGGUUGUCAGGUGGCAAGUUGCCAUUUUUCUUUUCUCAUGGUGUGUGUAUGUGUGUCUGUGUGUGUCUUUGUGUCUAUGUGUGUGUCUUUGUGUGUGUCUCUGUGUUUUAUGUAUAUGUACCUGUGUACGUCUGUGUGUGUCUGUGUGUUUGUGUGUGUGUUUGUGUAGGUGUGUGUGUGUCUGUGUGUUUAUAUGUGUGUCUUUGUGUGUGUCUCUGUGUUUUAUGUGUAUGAGUCUGUGUGUGUCUCUGUGUGUGUGUGUCUGUGUGUGUGGAUGCGUGUGCUGAUUUUUCUUCCCCAAGAUGUCUUGUUUUCUCCCAUGGAUGGGUGGUUCUGACGGCCUUGCUGGCAGUGGCAACAUCCUGGCUGCCCAGUGUUCCUUCUCUGGUGACAUGUUUUUGCCCAGGUGUGUCGCUGGGCUUCUGCCCAAAGGAUAAGGGUCUGCUUGUCUUGGUCAUCCCCGUCACUGUUUCCUGAGCUGGGAGCCGUGUUCGUCUUUCUGCUGGUGGGCUCUUAUUCAUGUGGACUGGUGAGAUUUUUCUGGACCCCACACCCGGACAGCAGACCUUGGCUUCGUUCCCAAGAAGGCCUCCUCCUCCUUCCCUGGGCCACCGCCUUCCUAGCAAGCUUCCGGUUUAGCUCCCAUUCCUGCUGCAGCUCCUGCACGCACCCCUGUCUCAGCAGGCCCUUUCCCUCCAGUGCACCUCUAAGCCUCAGAACUUUUGUUUUCUCUUUUUGGUUCUUCUGUUUGUGGCAUAAAGUUGGGACCUGGGCAGACGCAUGAAAGUUUUCCAGUGACCACAAAGUGAUGCCUGCCUUCUCUGCUUGGUACUUCCUGUGCCUGCCCAAGAGACAAUCAAUAAUAAAUCAGUGAGAUGUGUUUCAAUAAUUCUCUUGCUUGAAGUUCUGGAAGGCAGCUCUCAGGAAGCCGCCAAGCUGCAAACACAUGCCCAGCACAAGGCAGAGACGCGGGCUGUGCGGGGACCCAGCGGAAAACAGACCCCCACAGUGAUGCCCAGGCCCAGAGACCACAGAGAAGACGCCAGGGAAGAAACCAUUUUUCAUAUCCAGAAGCCUUCUGCCCCAAUUCAGCCCCCAUCCUGGAAACGCGGCAGAACACAUUUUGUGUGCAGUGAGCUGACAAGCCCUAUAAAACAUUUCCACUCUUCCCCACUCGGAACACAGCCCAUCUGUCCAACAGUGUCUGAAAUAACACCGGAUGGCCGGCAAAAGGGUAUCCAUUGUCACAGGCGUAUUGGUACCGCAGGUAGUCCACACGGGCCCCCGUAAUUCAAGCCGAAACAGCCUCUUCACCGACAGGGAGGCGGGGAGUGAAAGUGGCGGUUGUGAUUCCAACAACGGGGAGGGUUGUUUUUCUAAGAAUUUCUGCCAGUGGCCAUUGAGUACUUUUUGUGCACCUACAGGAGACCUUGAAAUUUAGGCAGCUAUCAAAUUCCAAAUUAAACACCUGCGUGCUGCCUGCUCGCCGGUGAGGCAGCUGGGUCACACCGAUCUGUGUUUGGGAAAGACCGGAGUUGGAUUGUACUUGCUGCUUUCCUCUAACUAGCUUUCCUAACAAGCUUUCCUAAGAUCACAAAUUAGAUGCUGGGGUUUCAGGCUAACAGGCCGAUGAAGCUGUUGUUGAAAACUCAGAAAUAAUCAGCUUUGAGCCUGUAGCCUUGGAAUUUCCUAGAGUGGGCUAUUAUGAUCUGGUCAUGUGGGGACUUGUUAUUUCUAUACAGAUUGGGACUUCUAGUUUGCAUCUCGUCUUCUGCAAUCUCUUUUUCAGGAGUGAGCACUAGCCAGAGUAUAGCAAACAUUUUCUCUUUUCUCCUAAAUAUGCAUGUUAGCAUCAGUGGGGGCAAGCAUUAAGAUGAUCCCGUCAGGAUUUAAGUUUAUGAAUGAUUUCUCAUGGUGUGGGACCCUAGCUGAACAUGGGCCAUGAAAGAGAAUGCUCGUUUCAUAUCCUGAAUUGGCCCCUUCCUGGCUUUGGGACCUUGGGCAAAUUACUGAGUCUCCAAGCCUCGGGUUUUUCAUCUGUAAAAUGGGAUGAUGGUAACAAUAAGAACUAGUUUGUUGGAUUGUUGUGAGAAUUAAAUGAGGUUCAGUACUGUGCCUAACCCAUAAUAAGCACUGAACACAUGUCUAGGGCAUUAUCGGAGGAUGAAGAUGGAAAUUGUGUUUGAGUGUCUCAUAAGGUCUACUCCUGGGCUUUAGGGGCUGGAGUUGGAGCACGAGCACAGGCCACAGAGGCAGAAGCCCAGGCCACUGCGAGGUCUGUGGGGAAGGCUGAGGUUUCAACCCUCCAGAG